UCUCCCAAGCUCGUACCCCGCGUGACAGUAGGUUUAUUUAUACGAUCUAGGUAUUUAACAACCUAAAAAAUAUACAGGAGUCGCCACUAGCCUCAUUUUUGGGGGUCGGCUAGAAACCCAAUCGAGGGUCGGGAGUAUUCCCUCGAUUCCUACGCAACCAGAUAUCUAGGUUCGGGGACUUGGGUUACGCUAAUAUUGCUAUUAGCGCCCUUUCGGUACCUAAACAGGAUGUUGUGUUUUUCCUAACAUGUCCAUGCAUUUCUUUUUAUAUUUUCAGGAUCAU
rnacentral:lncRNA from 1 species